rnacentral:misc_RNA from 1 species
CUUACAGUUGUCAUUGCUCUUGUAAUGCUGUUAAUCCCUAGGUUUUAAGCUGACGCUGAUCUAGAAUCUCAAAACCCCAUUAAAAAUAGGUUAAACCCAUGAAGAAGAAGCUAGAAGAGUUGCCAUUAACAUGAAUCUUUUUCAAAAAUUCAAAAAAUGAUAGGAUUUCAAUUUUUAAAAUUUAAAACCCAAAGAGAAGAGAGAGAAAUCUCGAGAGAAUACAAAG